AGGGUUAUCGCCAAGCGGUAAGGCACAGGAUUUUGAUUCCUGCAUUCGGAGGUUCGAAUCCUCCUAGCCCUG
rfam:Clostridium lentocellum DSM 5427, complete genome.